GCUUAACCGGAGAAGUGCAUCGGAAACUGGGAGACUUGAGUGCAGAAGAGGACAGUGGAACUCCAUGUGUAGCGGUGGAAUGCGUAGAUAUAUGGAAGAACACCAGUGGCGAAGGCGGCUGUCUAGUCUGUAACUGACGCUGAGGCUCGAAAGCAUGGGUAGCGAACAGGAUUAGAUACCCUGGUAGUCCAUGCCGUAAACGAUGAGUGCUAAGUGUUGGAGGGUUUCCGCCCUUCAGUGCUGCAGCUAACGCAUUAAGCACUCCGCCUGGGGAGUACGACCGCAAGGUUGAAACUCAAAGGAAUUGACGGGGGCCCGCACAAGCGGUGGAGCAUGUGGUUUAAUUCGAAGCUACGCGAAGAACCUUACCAGGUCUUGACAUCUUCUGCCAAUCUUAGAGAUAAGACGUUCCCUUCGGGGACAGAAUGACAGGUGGUGCAUGGUUGUCGUCAGCUCGUGUCGUGAGAUGUUGGGUUAAGUCCCGCAACGAGCGCAACCCUUAUUAUCAGUUGCCAGCAUUCAGUUGGGCACUCUGGUGAGACUGCCGGUGACAAACCGGAGGAAGGUGGGGAUGACGUCAAAUCACCAUGCCCCUUAUGACCUGGGCUACACACGUGCUACAAUGGACGGUACAACG
rnacentral:rRNA from 1 species